rnacentral:piRNA from 1 species
UCCACCAGUAUACGCGGCGCUUAGGAGC